UAUUUAUUUGGUGUAAUGUUCGUUUUAGAUUUCCGACUGAUCCGCUUCUGUCUGCGACGUGGACGGGAAAAAUUAGGCAAAAUCGAAAUGACGCCACAUGGAAACCGACUAAACAUAGUCGAAUAUGCUCGGUCCAUUUUGAUGAGCAAAAUAAGUACACUAGUAAAACCGGCUUGCGCAAAUUACGACAUGGCACGGUCCCGACUAAAGAUGUACCUGUUUUUAUCAGCGACAAUUGUAAUUACUUGAAACAGCGCAACCCAAGUUCACCACAACCGGGUACCUCACGAGACGACACUAAUAAAACACACCUCAAAUCACCAUCUUUGUCUUCGACUUCUAUAAUACUGUCAACAAUUAUCGAUUCUCAGGAAAAGGAUUCACUGCGACAAAAAUUGAAGAAGAAAGUGAUUCUGCAACGCAAACUGACUAAAAAAAUCAAACUCCUUCAACAAAAAACACGCCGCUUAAAGAAACAAAAUGAAUCACUAAAAAUUAUUUUAAAAAAAUUACGCAACGAGAGAUAGGUACUUAUAUCAAUACUUAACGAUUUGUGCAACAUACUGUCUGAAAAUGUUUUUGCUGCAGAGCUAUACAACAGCAUAGCUUUUAAAAUACAGGAAAACACGGCCAAUACCAAAAUAUACUCCAGAAUUUAGGAAAUUUUGCCUCACAUUACACUUCUACUCGCCUCGAGCAUAUACUUAUGUCAGAAAAACAUUUAACACGUGUCUCCCG